GGGCCCGUAGCCUAGCCAGGAUAGGGCGCCGGCCUCCGGAGCCGGAGGUCCCGGGUUCAAAUCCCGGCGGGCCCGCCA
rnacentral:tRNA from 1 species